rfam:Adlercreutzia equolifaciens DSM 19450 DNA, complete genome.
CCCUUGGUCGGAAACCAAGGAAGUUAGGAG